rnacentral:misc_RNA from 1 species
UGAUGAGUAUUUUAUCCUAUGGGCAUGCACUUCUUUAUUGUUGAAAGAAUUUGAUUUUGUUAAAUUAGGAAAGAUUAGGAACUUGGGAUCCAUAUCAGAAUUCCAGACAGUGCAGGCAUGUGCAUGGUGAUAUUCAGUACAUCUAUCUUGUGUUUCAAAUUCAGUGAUAUUUCUUUGAUCAGCAUAAUAGAGUUUUUUCUCCCAACUCCUCUGGCGAUAGUACUAAGAUAAUUUCUAUACUGAAUUUUGUCAUGUGGCUACUGCUUUCUUCUAAUCUCCAUUAUAUUAUUUUCUGAGUAGAACUUACUGGGUUGUAUUAAUGUUGUAGAGUGGGACUCUGG